rnacentral:rRNA from 1 species
GAUGAACGCUGGCGGCGUGCCUAAUACAUGCAAGUCGAGCGAACGGACGAGAAGCUUGUUGCUCUGAUGUUAGCGGCGGACGGGUGAGUAAUACGUGGAUAACCUACCUAUAAGACUGGGAUAACUUCGGGAAACCGUAGCUAAUACCGGAUAAUAUUUUGAACCGCAUGGUUCAAAAGUGAAAGACGGUCUUGCUGUCACUUAUAGAUGGAUCCGCGCUGCAUUAGCUAGUUGGUAAGGUAACGGCUUACCAAGGCAACGAUGCAUAGCCGACCUGAGAGGGGGGUCGGCCGCACUGGAAGUGAGACGCGGCCCAGCCUCCUACGGGAGGAAGCAGUAGGGGAGCUUCCGCAAUGGGCGAAAGCCUGACGGAGCAACGCCGCGUGAGUGAUGAAGGUCUUCGGAUCGUAAAAAUCUGUUAUUAGGAAAGAACAUAUGUGUAAGUGACUGUGCACAUCUUGACGGUACCUAAUUAGGAAGCGACGGCUAACUACGUG